GAAGAGGUGGCCGAGUGGUCCAAGGCGCCGCAACGUCAAGUUUAGCUUUGAUUCCUCUUGGAUUCAAGACAAUGCGGUCUGCUCUAUGAGCAGUCGUGGGUUCAAAUCCCUCCCUCUUCC
rnacentral:tRNA from 1 species